rnacentral:rRNA from 1 species
GCGCACCAGUCGCGAAUCCUCCUCAAUGCACUCACGUGCGAAGGGGUUACCUCGAGUGCCGCCUGAAGAAGGCGGCUUUUCCAUGGUCUAAAAGCCUAGGGAAUAAGAGGGGGCGAAGACUGGUGUCAGCCGCCGCGGUAACACCAGCCCCUCCGAGUGGUGGGGAUGAUUAUUUGGCCUAAAGCGUCCGUAGCCGGCCGGGUAAGUCUCCCGUUAAAUCCAGCGUCUCAAGCGUUGGACUGCGGGAGAUACUGUCUGGCUAGAGAGUGGGAGAGGUGUACGGUAUUCUGGGGUAGGGGCGAAAUCCUUUGAUCCCCGGAGGACCACCAGUGGCGAAGGCUGUACACUAGAACACGUCUGACGGACAGGGACGAAAGCUGGGGUAGCGAACCGGAUUAGAUACCCCGUGUAGU